rnacentral:rRNA from 1 species
GACGAACGCUGGCGGCGUGCUUAACACAUGCAAGUCGAACGGAAAGGCCCUGCUUUUGUGGGGUGCUCGAGUGGCGAACGGGUGAGUAACACGUGAGUAACCUGCCCUUGACUUUGGGAUAACUUCAGGAAACUGGGGCUAAUACCGGAUAUGAUCUCCUGCUGCAUGGUGUGGGUUGGAAAGUUUCGGCGGUUGGGGAUGGACUCGCGGCUUAUCAGCUUGUUGGUGGGGUAGUGGCUUACCAAGGCUUUGACGGGUAGCCGGCCUGAGAGGGUGACCGGCCACAUUGGGACUGAGAUACGGCCCAGACUCCUACGGGAGGCAGCAGUGGGGAAUAUUGCACAAUGGGCGGAAGCCUGAUGCAGCAACGCCGCGUGCGGGAUGCCGGCCUUCGGGUUGUAAACCGCUUUCGCAUGUGACGAAGCGUGAGUGACGGUAAUGGGUCAAGAAGCACCGGCUAACUACGUG